AGGAGUAAUUCACGCUGAGUCGGCUGUGCGGGAGACCGGAGAUUUGAUUUUUAUUUAUUUUAUUUUAUUUUAUUUUAUUUUAUUAUUUCUGAAACAGAGUCUUGCUCUGUUGCCCAGGCUGGAGUGCAGCCUCGGAGUUUUAUGAUUAUUCAAAUCAGUCUCCCUGAGCUUUGGGGAUAAGAGUAUUUAGAAAGUUUAUUUUGCCAAGGUUGGGGAUGCUUGUGCAUGACACAGCCUCAGGAUGUCCUGAUGACAGUUGCCCAGGUGGUCAGAGCACAGCUUGGUUUUGUUGGAGAUAAAUGCUCGGUGAUGCAAAGUGAAACCAGCACUUAAGCAAAAGUUUUCUCAGCAACGCAAUUUACCUCUGCGGAAGCGUGCUGCUCGCAUCAAUCACAAUCGCAAGAGCACACGGAACAAAGGAAAGCAGGGGUUUUUAUUCCUAAUGCAAUCCCUACCUCUGGCAUGGGCUGGGGCCAGACCUCAAGAUCUAAACUGACCCCGUUGGCUAUUUGGAGACAGGAGACAUCAAUCAACAUAUGUAAGAUGAACACUGGUUCGAUCCGGUACAACCUGAAGGAAAAGUGGGUCAACUCGAAGCCAGGAGGGGGCUUCCAGGUCACUGGCAGAAACGGGGGUCUCCCUCGGUUGCCCAGGCUGUCUCUGGUGCCCAACGCAGGGCUCCCCGUAAUCUCUACAAAUAAUCCAGUGAAGGAACACCAGAGCGUGGAAAGCUGAGGACGACCGACAAAGGACUCCCGAGGUCCCAGCCAAGACCCCCAAGGAUCCAGGGGAACUCCUGCCUAUGCCAUCAGCUGUGCUUCUCAUCACCACCCAAGAAAUCUCCUCUAAUGAGCAUGAAUGGGAGGAAAGUCAGCAUAUGCCUUCUCAGCAUUUCUGUUGUUACUGAGCUCUUUCCAUGGACCAGGCACUUCACACGCAUUAUUUAAUACUGUAAAGGUACAUUUAACACAUUAAUUAUCCUUGUUGUGAAG
rnacentral:lncRNA from 1 species